UGGGAUGUCGUCUAAUGGUAGGACAGCUGACUCUGGAUCAGUACGUAGGGGUUCAAAUCCUCUCAUCCCAGCCA
rnacentral:tRNA from 1 species